rnacentral:rRNA from 1 species
CUAACCGUAAACGAUGACAACCAGCGAUUAAUCGGCGUUAAUAUAUGACCCGAUUAGCAGCUUCCGGGAAACCAAAGUUUUUCGUUUCCGGGGGAAGUAUGGUUGCAAAGCUGAAACUUAAAGGAAUUGACGGAAGGGCACCACCAGGAGUGGAGCCUGCGGCUUAAUUUGACUCAACACGGGAAAACUCACCCGGCCCGGACACCGUAAGGAUUGACAGACUGAGAGCUCUUUCUUAAUUCGGUGGGUGGUGGUGCAUGGCCGUUCUUAGUUGGUGGAGCGAUUUGUCUGGUUAAUUCCGAUAACGAACGAGACUCUGGCCUAUUAAAUAGACGAUAUAUUUAAAAGUAUAUCGCGCUUCUUAGAGGGACAAGCGGCGUCUAGCCGCAUGAAAUAGAGCAAUAACAGGUCUGUGAUGCCCUAAGAUGUCCGGGGCUGCACGCGCGCUACACUGAAAGAAUCAGUGUGCGUUACGCCUAGUUCGGAAGAACCGGGUAACCCAAGUAAAUUCUUUCGUGCUUGGGAUAGGGAAUUGCAAUUAUUUCCCUUAAACGAGGAAUUCCCAGUAAAUGCGGGUCAUAAGCUCGCGUUG